rnacentral:rRNA from 1 species
AGUGAACGCUGGCGGCAGGCCUAACACAUGCAAGUCGAACGGCAGCACGGCAGUAGCAAUACUGUGGGUGGCGAGUGGCGGACGGGUGAGGAAUACAUCGGGAUCUACCCUGUUGUGGGGGAUAACGUAGGGAAACUUACGCUAAUACCGCAUAAGAAACUGAGGUUGAAAGCGGCGGACCGCAAGGCGUCGCGCGAUUGGAUGAACCGAUGUCCGAUUAGCUAGUUGGCGGGGUAAAGGCCCACCAAGGCGACGAUCGGUAGCUGGUCUGAGAGGACGACCAGCCACACUGGAACUGAGACACGGUCCAGACUCCUACGGGAGGCAGCAGUGGGGAAUAUUGGACAAUGGGCGCAAGCCUGAUCUAGCCAUGCCGCGUGGGUGAAGAAGGCCUCGG